GUGGGGAAUUUUGGACAAUGGGCGCAAGCCUGAUCCAGCAAUGCCGCGUGCAGGAAGAAGGCCUUCGGGUUGUAAACUGCUUUUGUACGGAACGGAACGGUCCGGGUUAAUACCCUGGGCUAAUGACGGUACCGUAAGAAUAAGCACCGGCUAACUACGUGCCAGCAGCCGCGGUAAUACGUAGGGUGCAAGCGUUAAUCGGAAUUACUGGGCGUAAAGCGUGCGCAGGCGGUUUUGUAAGACAGGCGUGAAAUCCCCGGGCUCAACCUGGGAAUUGCGCUUGUGACUGCAAGGCUGGAGUGCGGCAGAGGGGGAUGGAAUUCCGCGUGUAGCAGUGAAAUGCGUAGAUAUGCGGAGGAACACCGAUGGCGAAGGCAAUCCCCUGGGCCUGCACUGACGCUCAUGCACGAAAGCGUGGGGAGCAAACAGGAUUAGAUACCCUUGUAGUCC
rnacentral:rRNA from 1 species